rnacentral:lncRNA from 1 species
GGUUGCCUCAAGAGGCGGUUGCUUCCCCUUGCGAGAGGAAUUCAAGCAGAGGCUCAAUUGUUGUAGGGAGAGAUUCUUGCUCAUGAUAAAUAACCUCUGACAUCCUUUCUCAGAGUAGGCUGAGUAGGAAGGGUGUUUGGCUUCUAAGGUCUCUUCCAGCUGUCUGUGGUUCUAUGAUGGAGCCACCCAAAUGAAAGGAAACAUUGUAGAUAUGCUGAAAGCUAAUUUAACUGACAGCAACAGUUUGCCUUAGCCUGUCUGUGAAGAUUCCCUUUAAUAAUCAGAACUUGCUCCCCUCCUUUUUAGGAAGGGGAGAUAACACCCACUCUGGAAGCUAAGGAGGACAGGGCAUAUUCUACAGAAGAUCUCUGAAGGAAACAUUUCAAGUACCACCCAUAAUACCCUUAAUGGCAGUGAGGAAGUUCAAACGCAUUGGCUAUUGAGAAAAGAGAAG